GAUGAACGCUAGCGGCAGGCUUAAUACAUGCAAGUUGAGGGGCAGCAUGAUAUACGCGAGUAUAUUGAUGGCGACCGGCGGACGGGUGAGUAAUAGGUAGGAGACCUACCUCAUACAGGGGGAUAGCAUAGAGAAAUCUAUGGUAAUACCCCAUGAGGUUAUAUGAAUAGAGGCAUAUAAUCAAAGCAUAAGCGAUUAUGCGGUAUGAGAGGGGCCUACUGACCAUUAGCUAGUUGGUGAGGUAAGGGCUCACCAAGGCGAAGAUGGUUAAGGGGUUUUGAGAGAGAGACCCCCCACAUUGGAACUGAGAGACGGUCCAGACUCCUACGGGAGGCAGCAGUAGGGAAUAUUGGGCAAUGGGCGAAAGCCUGACCCAGCCAUGCCGCGUGAAGGAAGACGGCCUUAUGGGGUUUAAAACUUCUUUACUACGCGAAAUACGAGGUUACGUACGAGGAUAACUAAUAGGAAGGUAGUAGUAGUAAAAGCAACCGGGCUUAAACGUCCGUGCCC
rnacentral:rRNA from 1 species